rnacentral:tRNA from 1 species
GCGAGCAUGGUUUAGUGGUUUGAGUGUUGGACUUCCACUCUGAAGACUUGGGUUUGAUUCCUCACUCUGCCA